rnacentral:rRNA from 1 species
UACGGGGGGUGCGAGCGUUGUCCGGAAUCACUGGGCGUAAAGGGCGCGUAGGUGGCGUCGUAAGUUUGUGGUGAAAGCCUGGGGCUCAACCCCAGGUCUGCCGCGAAUACUGCGAGGCUUGAGUACUGUAGAGGCAGGUAGAAUAUCGGGUGUAGCGGUGGAAUGCGUAGAGAUCCGAUAGAAGACCGGUGGCGAAGGCGGCCUGCUGGGCAGUAGCUGACACUGAGGCGCGACAGCGUGGGGAGCAAACAGG